rnacentral:rRNA from 1 species
UACGAAGGGUGCAAGCGUUACUCGGAAUUACUGGGCGUAAAGCGUGCGUAGGUGGUUUGUUAAGUCUGUUGUGAAAGCCCCGGGCUCAACCUGGGAAUGGCAAUGGAUACUGGCAAGCUAGAGUGCGGUAGGGGAGAAUGGAAUUACCGGUGUAGCGGUGAAAUGCGCAGAUAUCAGGAGGAACACCCGUAGCGAAGGCGGUUCUCUGGGACGGUACUGACGCUGAGACGCGAAAGCGUGGGGAGCGAACAGG